AGCAACGAGGUGAAUGACAUGGGAGACAGACCUGGGGUCUUUUAGGGACGGAAAGCCUCAGCCAAAACCCAGACUCCCAGGGUCAUCAACCUCCCCGGGUCACUAACCCUCCCCAGUGUCUGUCUACCCCUGAGUCCAGAGAACACGUCCUCUCUAGGCUCGAGCCGGAAUCAAUAUAGGCUACAGGAGCAUCAGUGCAGGCUGCGCGGAGGAGAGAAGGAGGUGCUCCGGAAUCAAUAUAGGCUACAGGAGCAUCAGUGCAGGCUGCGCGGAGGAGAGAAGGAGGUGCUGAUGUGGAGUCCUCCCUCCCCCUCCUCUUUCACCCCCAAGUGUCUCCCUCGACUGCCCUCCCCCACCUCUAGCUGACCAUGGCUUCAGAGGCAGAGAAAACAUUCCAUCGGUUUGCUGCCUUUGGAGAAUCAUCAAGCAGUGGCACUGAAAUGAACAACAAGAACUUCUCCAAGCUGUGCAAAGACUGUGGCAUCAUGGAUGGCAAGACAGUCACCUCCACGGAUGUGGACAUCGUGUUCAGCAAAGUCAAGUGAGGAGCCAAAGAUAUGGGGGUGGGGGUGAGAAGAACCUGUGAGGUAGUUGGCCACGGAAGGGUUCAUGUGGUGGAACAUUUGCAGUGGGCCUACCAAGCACCACAGGGUACCUGGUGCUGUAUUAUUCUUUGUCUUCAAGACACUCACUGAUAGGACAAAAGAGGCCAAAUCUGAGUGAGGCAAGAGUUGGACUUUGGAAGGUAAUGCAUUCAUGCUCCAAAGUUUCUGGAUUUCUGUCUAACUGAC
rnacentral:sRNA from 1 species